rnacentral:lncRNA from 1 species
GAGGCGGGUAGCCCGGUGGUUAGAGGAGGAGGCAGGUAGCCUAGUGGUUAGAGGAGGAGGCAGGUAGCCUAGUGGUUAGAGGAGGAGGCAGGUAGCCUAGUGGUUAGAGGAGGCAGGUAGCCUAGUGGUUAGAGGAGGCAGGUAGCCUGGUGGUUAGAGGAGGCAGGUAGCCUAGUGGUUAGAGGAGGCAGGUAGCCUGGUGGUUAGAGGAGGCAGGUAGCCUAGUGGUUAGAGGAGGCAGGUAGCCUAGUGGUUAGAGUGUUGGCCUAGUAACUGAAAGGUUGCUAGAUUGAAUCCCCGAGCUGACAAGGUAAAAAUCUGUCGUUCUGCCCCUGAACAAGGUAGGCCGUCAUUAUAAAUAAUAAUUAGUUCUUAACUGACUUGCCUGGUUAACUAAAAAAAAAUAGCUCUGGUUAAAAUGGGAUGCCUGCUAUUUGCACUGCAUUUCUCUGGUCAAAAGAAGGGCACUAUGGGGUGCCUGGCAAAUUCAUCAACACAACAACAACGGAUAAGAUCUUCUGGUUGCAUAUCACCCAGCUAGAGUUCUCCUGGCUAACGAGACUCCACAUGCAGAAAUAUCAGUGGAAUUUAUCGAACUUGAACGAACAUAUUCUCUCGUCAGGUAAAUAUGUUUCCUAGGCCUUUACGUUUGGUUGGAAUGGGUUUUUUAAAUGCCCAAGCCGGUUCACUUUCCUGUUAGUGACAUAUAGGCUAUACUGUAUUUAUUAGUUAUGCCUUUAUUUAUUUAUUUAUUAUUAUAUAUAUAUUUAUUUUAAAUAAACGAAGUCAUACUUAAAAGGGAGAGAUAUCGUGCGCUUUUUUUCUCAUUAUGUUGACAGUCACGCGGGCGUGUAAUAAAGGAACGCGGAGUUAACAUGCGCUGUUAAUUUUUCAUUGCUUUUUUUUUCGUUUAGGGGGCUCACCCACCCAAAAAACCGAGAGAGAGAGACGAGAGGGGUAGAGAGAGAGAGAGAGAGAGAGAACUUGUCAUAAGUACAAAAUAAAGGAAAUGGGAAAAAGGAAUGAAUGGAACUAAAACCAAAACAACAAUUCUGCCUUCGAUGAUGUUCACGUCAUAAACACAUUUUAAAGAAGCACCUCUCCUCUCCUCUCCUCCCCUCUCCUCUACUCUCCUUCUCCCUCCCUCUCUCCCCCUCUCCUCUCCUCUCCUCCCCUCUCCUCUCC